CAGCAGCCGCGGUAAUACAGAGGGUGCGAGCGUUAAUCGGAUUUACUGGGCGUAAAGCGUGCGUAGGCGGCUUUUUAAGUCGGAUGUGAAAUCCCUGAGCUUAACUUAGGAAUUGCAUUCGAUACUGGGAAGCUAGAGUAUGGGAGAGGAUGGUAGAAUUCCAGGUGUAGCGGUGAAAUGCGUAGAGAUCUGGAGGAAUACCGAUGGCGAAGGCAGCCAUCUGGCCUAAUACUGACGCUGAGGUACGAAAGCAUGGGGAGCAAACAGGAUUAGAUACCCCCGUAGUCCCUGUCUCUUAUAC
rnacentral:rRNA from 1 species